rnacentral:rRNA from 1 species
CUUUACACAUGGCAAGUCGAACGGUAACAGGCCGCAAGGUGCUGACGAGUGGCGAACGGGUGAGUAAUGCAUCGGAACGUGCCCAGUCGUGGGGGAUAACGCAGCGAAAGCUGCGCUAAUACCGCAUACGAUCUAUGGAUGAAAGCGGGGGACCGUAAGGCCUCGCGCGAUUGGAGCGGCCGAUGUCAGAUUAGGUAGUUGGUGGGGUAAAGGCUCACCAAGCCGACGAUCUGUAGGCUGGUCUGAGAGGACGACCAGCCACACUGGGACUGAGACACGGCCCAGACUCCUACGGGAGGCAGCAGUGGGGAAUUUUGGACAAUGGGCGCAAGCCUGAUCCAGCAAUGCCGCGUGCAGGAAGAAGGCCUUCGGGUUGUAAACUGCUUUUGUACGGAACGAAAAGGUUUCUCUUAAUACGAGGGAGCUCAUGACGGUACCGUAAGAAUAAGCACCGGCUAACUACGUG